GCUACACACGUGCUACAAUGGUAAUGACAAUGGGUUAAUCCCAAAAAGUUAUCUCAGUUCGGAUUGGGGUCUGCAACUCGACCCCAUGAAGUCGGAAUCGCUAGUAAUCGCGUAACAGCAUGACGCGGUGAAUACGUUCCCGGGCCUUGUACACACCGCCCGUCACACCAUGGGAGUUGGUUCUACCCGACGACGCUGCGCUAACCUUCGGGGGGCAGGC
rnacentral:rRNA from 9 species